rnacentral:rRNA from 1 species
AUUCCUUCCGCGCCCCUCGGGCCGAGGAAGGAAGAAAGGAACCUCUUUUUGUCGACGUUAAAAAAAGCGCCGGCCCCUCCGUGCCGCCCCAGGCGGCCCUUUCGUGUCCGUCCCUCCGGCCAACGCGCACCCCCGCCCGCGCCCCGAGCGCGAGGAGGGAAGAAAAAUCUCCCGCAUCCGCCGGGCACCUCGCGUGUCGGCAAGCCACAGCCAUCGGCGCCGCCUACUAAAGUCGGCCGGCCGGAUAUAGCCACCCUUUCCCUGCACGCGCGCGCCACGCCAGCUUCCUCAGCGUCCGCCCCCCUCCCCUCCCCUGGCUUCUUCCUCCUCGCCACCUCAAGGCCUCCUCCGUCUCGGCCCUGUGCAAGGUCGCCACAGGCGUCCCUGUUCAACCGCCCUACCCGCGUCCCGUCUCCGGCUCCGGGCCGGUCGAGGUCCUCGAGGGGUACAUUGAUACUUGAAGCAGUAAUAUUGAAAAUGGUCAGUGCGAGGUCAGUAGACAGGCAGUUGGAUGCGUGCUUCAGCAACCUCAUGGUGUCUAGCGGUGGUGGAAGGGGGCAGGCUGAAACUGGUGGCGCUAUGCCUAUGUUGUCAGGAUGGAAGGACCUUCCAAUGGAGCUGCUUAUGCGGAUCAUAUCAGUUGCUGGAGAUGAUCGAAUUGUCGUUGUGGCAUCCGGUGUUUGCACUGGCUGGCGCGACGCGUUAGGAUGGGGGGUCACUAAUCUUUCCCUCUCAUGGUGCCAGCAGAACAUGAAUAACUUAACAAUAUCAUUUGCUCACAAGUUCACAAAGCUUCAGGUUCUCACUCUUCGCCAAAUCAAACCUCAGCUUGAAGACAGUGCAGUAGAGGCUGUUGCCAACUACUGUUAUGAUCUACGUGAGUUAGACCUCAGCCGUAGUUUCCGGCUUAGUGACCGUUCAUUGUAUGCACUGGCCAACGGAUGUCCUCGGCUUACAAAACUGAACAUCAGUGGGUGUUCCAGUUUCAGUGACAGUGCCUUAAUCUACCUUAGUUGCCACUGUAAAAACCUGAAGAGCUUGAAUCUUUGUGGAUGUGGAAAGGCAGCCACUGAUGAAUCCUUGCAGGCCAUAGCCCAAAACUGUGGGCACCUGCAAACUUUAAACCUAGGUUGGUGUGACAAUGUCACAGAUGAGGGGGUUACCAGCUUGGCAUCAGGUUGCCCUGAUCUCAGGGCCCUGGAUUUGUGUGGCUGUGUUCUUAUAACAGACGAGAGUGUUAUUGCUCUAGCAAGCGGGUGCCCGUACCUGCGAUCUUUGGGCCUGUACUACUGCCAGAACAUCACCGACCGUGCCAUGUACUCCCUCGCAAACAGCUGCGUGAAGAGCAAACGAGGGAGGUGGGGCACCCCGCGGAGCAGCAGCAGCAGCUCGAAGGACGUCGAUGGGCUGGCAAACCUGAACAUCAGCCAGUGCACGGCCCUGACGCCCCCCGCGGUUCAGGCGGUGUGCGACUCCUUCCCGUCGCUCCACACCUGCCCGGAGAGGCACUCCCUCAUCAUCAGCGGCUGCCUCAGCCUGACUAACGUCCACUGUGCCUGCGGCCUCCAGCGCCACCGCGCCGGAAGCGCCCUGCAGGCCACCAGCCAUGCGUACUGAGGAUGCGCGUGCUCUUGAUUCCGGCGAACGCCGUGUGCCUCNNNNNNNNNNNNNNNNNNCCCGGCCUGGAGGAAGACGUGUAUAUAAACUCUUAACCUGGAAAUGUAAUGUUGUAGUAGGACUAUUGUAUCAUGAGGACUCUGUGAUGCUCCCCCAUUGCCAUUCUUGAAACUGGCAAGAAGUUGCAAUGCUAUGUAUCUGGUGGAUUUCAACAAGGAUCUGUCGGUUGAUUCUGGGUAUUGGUAGUUUGCAAGCAUUCAGA